rnacentral:lncRNA from 1 species
CACCCUUGUGUCAGUUAAUAGCAAGAAGUAAAAUUCCGGAGCUCAGCAGAUCCUUCAAAAAUAUCUUCUCUCCACAAAGAACAUAACAGCACAUGCAUUUGGAAGAACAUGACGAUCCACUGGCUGGGAUCUCUGUGGUGGAAUGCUGCUGGGACCCCCUUCUAACCUCCCCACAACCCUCCCCUUGAGUUCACCCACCCACCCAUUAGGAAUUCCAGCAGGGCAUUGUGGGUGGGAUGAAUGGGGUCAGAGCCAAGGAAACAAUACAGACAUGUAUCUCUCUCUUAUUCUGUUUAGGAGUGGGUGAAGAGAGCAAGAGGGGCCCUAAAUCAAAUAAACAUCACAGCCCCGAUUGCUUCAUCUCUGCUUUCCAAGAAAACCAGACAUCCAGG